CAAUGUGAUAAUCCUCCAUCUUGGAAAGAUCCUUUUCAUCAUGGUAUGGGACUUCUAGAAGUCUCUUUGCUGAAAGAAUGGCACUUCAGGAAUGGAAAUUCCUACUUUGUUAGGUCAACGGUGAGAAAUUUGAGGAAAGGAGGGGUGGGUUGUAGAGGUAGCAUAACAUGGCAGAAAGAACACAACAGAAAGAGCACACCUAGAGAACUGAUGUUCCAGGUCACCAUUUCUAACUGUGUGAUGCGAACAGUCCCUCACUUUGCAGAAGCCAAGUUUCCUCAUAGUACAUUUCUCAUAGCGGUGUUGAGGUCAACUGGGAUAGUUGAUGGGAAAGCCCUUUGUAAUCAGUAAAGACAUGUCAAAGUACAAGGUAUUGUUACUCUUCCAGCAGCACUCCUCAAAGGCCAGAGUCCCGAGCUGCCAAGAACGCCAGCCCCUUGCAAGGUAGCCACUUGGCAAGAAAGGCGGGCAAAAUUGUUCUAUCCUUUUCCACCUCAUUCUGUAGAAAGUACUAAUAAACAACAAUAACCAAUGAAACCCUUGUUAAAAUCUUUACAUCAUCAAGGUUAACUCUAAUUUUUUCAUCUUUUCUCAAACGUUGAUUUCUUAGAUUUGUACGGCAACAAAUUCUCCUGUGUAAUAGGUGGAUAGUCCACUUGAAUUCGUUUUUGUGAAUGCUACACAUUUAAGCGUCAUUUUGCAUCUGAUCAGUUCUCCCUAAUCUUUGGAAGACAUUUCCCAUUUCUGGUAUUCACUCAGUGUCUUUCUGCUUAUUCAAUUUGCUGUGGAAUCCUGGCUGUCACAGGAGGUCUCAGAACAGCCUGGAUGAGAGCUGACAGCUUCCCUGCUCCUCACUGACUUGGGAUUCCCAGAGCGCUCUCCCCACAGCUUCUGACCUGAGCUGUGCAAACCCAGCAAGCCUAAGACAAAGACAUUUGGGGAAAGUAGAAUCCUGAAAAGUUAAAGGAUUUUUUUUCAACGCCAUAUGAUUAGUAAGCAGCCUGACGAGGAUCUAGGAGCAAUGAAAUGAAGAUAAGCCUCCCUUUAGCAUUGAAACCAAGCGAAACACAGGGC
rnacentral:lncRNA from 1 species